CGGAGCCCUUUCACUUUACCAGUUAGGUUUGUGCAUAUCUGCAUUGGUCAUUCAAAAGGGCUACAUCAGACAUCCUCUUAAAACCCAAGCAAAAUCUCCCCGUAUCUUGCUUGUGUCCUGUCAGAGGAGACAACA